GCUCUUUCACAUCUGCCGAACACGAACUAUAUAGGUGGCGUCAGCUUGCUGACUAUGGUGAUAAACGGUGCGUGAAAUAAGCGUUGUGGACCCGGGGGCGGUACCCGGCGCCUCCACCAUUUUCCGUGGGCCUGGGCGAAUCGGCAUGAGCCGGUUGCGGUUCAGAUCCGGGGUUAUGGGGGCGAAAUAGACUCGACACGCGUGGUAAAGACCCACCUUUUGCCCGGCAUUGUACCGCCGUUAUCGGGCUAAUUUUUAAAUGCGAACGAUAACAACGUAGCAUUCGCUGUCGCCGCCUAAUAAGCGGAGAUAAGCGCGGCACGGGGGGCGCCGGGCAACAGAAGCCCCCCACU
rnacentral:tmRNA from 1 species